GCACCAUGAAGAAGCUCUGUGCGACCCACUUGCGGGGACAGCUGACGCAUAUCCCUGUGCUGGCACGGCAGGAGGGCCUAGCAACCUGUUAGGAAGGAAGAUGGGAAACAGCAGGAGCAGAGCAAUGUUUUAAGGUGGAGAGUGAAGGAUACAAUACACAAUCAACUGAAUACUUUCUUACAACUCUUUGCCAGCAGAUUCUCUGUUUCCUUUCCUCUCUUCAUUUAAUUUAAUGUCCAAGUCUCGGAGCUGGCUGAGGAACCCUGUGUUUGGGCAGAUGUUUCUGUGAGAACCCACUGUUCUCAGAGCAUCCACAAGUGUCAUGUUUUCAUGGAUCAUCAAAAAGGCAAGCACUAAGGAUGCAGAGCGGCUUACCCCUAUGGCACAAUGCACGAACACUUUACCUGCAAAACAAAGAGACACGAGAACAUUAAGCUGAAGCAGUAGAAGGAAAUCAAGAGGUUCUACAUCUGGAGAUUCAGAAGACCAUGGACUAAUUUUCAAGGAGCAUGCAUGACUCUCAGACGCUGCAGAUGUUAAAAAGCUGAAGUCGUGGAGGUAGUGCUUAACACUAUGGCUCUUUGUCCUCCUGAUGGAAAAUUCCAGAUGGAAAGAAGCAUGGUUCACAGGGAAAUGAUCGUGUAAGUUGAAUUAAUCUUUCAGAUACUGUAAUGUGAAACCUGAUCUUCCUUUUUGUUAAGAAGACCCAAUCUGUGUCUCUACAUUUUGGCCAGAAUCCGAUGCUAAGAGAACCCAGGAGUCUCCUGAGGUAGAGCUGAAAGCCUCAUGCACAGAAACAGGCGCAUUUAAAA